UUCUGUCUUUAUCGGUCAAAAGGGAGGCUAAUGAAUAUGCAAAUUUUGGUCCAACGUCUCCAGUUGUGGCGGGCAACACCCCCUAGUUAGCAGCCCAUAACGACAAGGGGUCAGAGACACUCUGGUUUCUCAGCAACCUGGAGUCACGGCACUCUACCCCGCCUUCCCACCUGACGGGAACAAAGGAUUAUUCAUGAAAAAUGGAGAAGUACAGUGUACGUCAACCUGCAUCCUUCCCCGCCCACACACUGUGACAGGGCUGAAAUCCACAGCCCAUUCUGCUUGAUUGAUACCAUCAAACUAACCAAGGUCACAGCUUCCACCAAGCAGCCCAGCCGCCACUGCCAGCAGGCAGGCAGCCACCACAUCAUAGAGAUAUACAGGGGGGCAUGAGUGAGAUGGAUGGAGGAAAAGUGGAGCCAGUCGACACCACUAGCUACUUACCUGACUGACUGUCGCUCCUCAAUGUUCAUGAUUCAUUAAGUCAACCACCAGUUUGGGAAAGGUCACCAUGCUGGAGGGGGAAACAACAAGAAAGAAACCUCUCUUCGCUGUUGUGCUUUCUUAGCGUGUGAGACUGUGCACAGUACCUUUUAAACAUUAAUGUAGGAGUAUUCUUAUCUUUGGCAAAUGGCCAAAGAUAAGAUGUAUUGAUUGAUUGAUGUAUUGAUUGUGCUGUCAUCCUGGAAGGCAGGUAGCAUAGCGGUUAAGAAAAAAAAGAAAAACAAUCUGAAAGGUUGCUGGUUUGAAUCCCCCAGCUGACUAGGUGAAAAAUCUGUCAAUGUGCUCUUGAGCAAGGCACUUAACCCUUAUUCCUCUGGAUAAGAGAAUCUGCUAAAAUCUUAUAUUACAUCAUGUGUUGAUCUACAUGAUUUGCUGUAACUUGGUAUCAGAACCUUGUUCCUUAUCAAGCACUUUGCUAAACAGUGUAUCUCUUAUUUAAUUCAUUCUCUCAAGUUCAAACUAAGCACAACAGAAGACCCUGGCACACUGAAAUAAACCAGAUAGAAUUUAACAGCUUAAAUCAUCUUAGAAUCCCAUCCAUCUAGCUCAGCGGCGUGAGGCCUCUGUGAGGUGAUGGUGGACAGGGUCACUGCGGUCAGUCUCUGCUCUAAACACUGCCCUAUUGUUUCUGCUUGUCUUCCGGCCGGCUGUUAGCUCUGGUCUGUGUUUGAUGCAGUCCAGACUCUGCCGUGUGUGGUGGGUGUGCCUCAUACUCAGCCCUGUGACACUAGACACAGACAGACACCAACAAGAAGGAAGGAAGGAAGGAAGUGGAUCUCAGAGUCCACUCAACCACCAGCCAAAUGGCCGUCCAGCAGCCAGCUCACACUAGUCAACAAACAGUUCAAGGGGUUUGUUCUGCUUUCUCAGGCUUCCAGCAGAGGAGAUGGGAGAGUCAACUAAAAUUAAUUCCUGGGUAGCCCUUUCCUGCAGUCAAAUGGCUAGUGGCAUCACGGGUGGAAUAUUUUUUAUAUUUUUUAUAAUUUCAUAAUUAAUAAACUUUUUAUUAUUUUUUAAAUUUUUUUAAUCUGCCUAAAAUCUGGUGAUUCUAUGUCAAACUGUUUUGUUAUAUUUCAGUCUUCUGUGAUGUGUAUAAAGAGUCAUACUGGAAUGGAAAUUCAAAAUGGAAUACAUUUCAACUCAGUAUUUGA